AAAACGACUCUCGGCAACGGAUAUCUCGGCUCACGCAUCGAUGAAGAACGUAGCAAAAUGCGAUACUUGGUGUGAAUUGCAGAAUCCCGUGAACCAUCGAGUUUUUGAACGCAAGUUGCGCCCGAAGCCUUUUGGCUGAGGGCACGUCUGCCUGGGCGUCGCAC
rnacentral:rRNA from 1 species